rnacentral:lncRNA from 1 species
CUGAUGCAUCGCAGUGUCCACAUAUGCAGGGAGGCUGGUUUCCUAGGAAGCCUCCCAAUGAGGAAAUUGUUGGGAAUGUGCUGCAAGGCGCUGCCUCGCUCUGGAGCCAGACGAGAGGCCGGAGCAUCCGCCCCAACAUGGCUGGCUGUGUGAGCCUCAGGAACGCUGGCAGCUCUGCAAGACUCUCUGCCAUCUGCAAAAUGUGGAGGAGGAAAAUGAGCUGCAGAAGGAUCAAAUGACCUGCCUGAGGUGCCCUAUCUGUUGGCACAGGCCAGAGCACAUGGUGGAUGCAGGGGCACCCCCUUCCCUUCUCCUCCCCUCCGGCUCUUUGCUGACAGGAUUCUCUCUUGCCUUCUCUGAUGGUACCUGUGCUACGUGCCACAUCCUUUCCCUCAAUGAAUUUCAGGCAGUGGAAGGGGCCGCAGAAGUUCCUUGACUCAUGAGGCGAGGCAUUCAGCGGCCUCGUGACACCUCCCAGGAUCUGCAGUCAUUGGGCUGCACUUGCCAAUAGCAACACCUGGCAAAAAUAGCUAAGAAGCAGAGCGGCCUGGGCUCAGGAGCUGAGCAACCCCUGACUGGCCAGAUGGAGACUGUGUUGAGCUCUGCCCAAGCCCUGUGAUCCUGGAAAACAGUGAAGUUAAGGAGCCAUCUGCAUUCUAGGGAAUGGCCCACUGCAAAAAAUAGCCUUCCUUAUAGGACGUAGAGGACUCAUGAUGUCCCCUCAUUUAUGAUGAGCCAACACACAGCCCUUCCAAAUUCCGAUUCUUUGCUUCAUAACUGAUGAGCUGUUUUGUUCCCACUGGUCAAUCGGAACAACAUUCUUGCUAACCAGAUUUUGGUUCAGCUCUUCUCCCUCCCCAUGUACCUGCCCUGUGUCCUGUCCUCAUCCUGAGCCAGCACACACCCCUCCUUAGUAGCUCCUCCUGCAGCAGGCUGACCUCGGACUCUCCCUGAUCCAUUGUCCAAAUAUAUCACCCUUUCACCCUACAUCCUCACACCCCAUUCUUUCUAGUUUUGUUCAUUCCUCCCUGUGAAAGAUGAACCCUCUUUGCCUAACCCCGGACCUGCUUGCAGACUGCUAUGAUGGCCAGAGUGUCCCCCCUACUGCAAGAGUCCCUUCUGUCCCUUGCAACAUCUUUUAAAUAAAAUCUCUCUUUAC